UUUUUUUAUCAAUUUUAUUUUUUUUUUUAAAUCAGUGACAAAAUUAAAAUUAAAGGGUACUAAAGUAAAUAUGCGGUAAAUUUAGAUGGAUAUUUGAUGUUUUUUUGUAUAUAAUUUAACGAAAUAUUAAGAGAAAAGCUAUAGAAAAGAUAAAAACAAAACUACAGGGAGGCAAAUUGAUACACUUUAAACCACAGAGUACUAAAGUGAGAAACAUGAAAACCACGGGGGGUUUUUGAAGUUUUUCCUUGAAUUUUUAUAACUUCUUUCUCUCAUUAAUCUUUUCCACAACUUCUUUCUCUCAUUAAUCUUUUCCACAAUUGACUUCAUAAAAUAAUUUUAGGUACUGAUCAUAGGAAAUUAAUUUUAACUACUAAUAGUUCUUAUAUUUCUCUUAUACCCUUGUCUUCUUUUAUUUAUUUAGCCAACUUUAUUUAUGUUUCUUUAUAUAUAUAUAUAUAUAUAUAGUAAGACUACUG
rnacentral:lncRNA from 1 species